CGUGGCCUACGGGAGGCAGCAGUAGGGAAUUUUCGGCAAUGGGGGGAACCCUGACCGAGCAACGCCGCGUGAACGAAGAAGUUAUUCGUAAUGUAAAGUUCUUUUAUCAGGGAAGAAAGAGGAAUUUGACGGUACCUGACGAAUAAGCCACGGCUAACUACGUGCCAGCAGCCGCGGUAAUACGUAGGUGGCAAGCGUUAUCCGGAUUUAUUGGGUGUAAAGGGCGUGUAGGCGGGAAUGCAAGUCAGAUGUGAAAACUAUGGGCUCAACCCAUAGCC
rnacentral:rRNA from 1 species